UGAAGGUUUAAACGUGUUUUCUUUUGAAUUGCGGUAGGUUGUUGUAGCGGCUAACGUUACUUUGCCACUUUGUGAGGUAUUUGGGUAUCUAACGUUACUUUUUUGGUGAUAAUGGUUGUAUAUUUAUUCGUCCGCGUUCUGUAUAAUGUGUGUUUUUGUGUCAGGUAAGCUUCCGAUAUUAUAAUACUAUAUGAAUGACUAAUAACGAAGGAGCUUAGCUAUCGCCUGCUAGCUUCCUCAUGCAAUAAAUGCAUGUUUCAAGCAAUGGUCGCUGUCUACGUCCUGGGAUGGUCCUGUCUAAUUCCAGACUAUUCAAGUAAUUCCUGUCCUAUUAUGCUACUUGCCAGUUGCAAAGUUGUUCUAGCUUACCAGGUCCGCGUUUAAUCAAUAGAACCACAUGGCUUAUAUUACCAUGUGCAUUAUAACAUGUAUUUUCUGUAUCUCUAAAGUGCACCGGGAAGUGCUCGGUUUCACCAACCACGUCACCAGCAGCGGUUACGUCGAAUACUGAACGUUAAUGGUAUAUACUGGUAUUCAUACUAGUUAUGUGAAGCUAAAUGGUGCACUUGUGCUGUACAUUGGUGUCAAGGCAGUGCUUACAAACGACACAUUCGUGUUGCCCUUCGAGGGGCUCUGCAAACAGUACUGUAGCGGUGCCGCAGUCAUGAAGCCGACCUUAGCAAGAUGCCCUUGGUCUUACGUAACUCAACUAGAUGUGUUGCGUCAAUCCUCGCGAGCUUUAAACAUAAAUAGAUAUAUUGAAAUGUGUAUUAAAUUAUCUCCUAAAAUUAUGUUGUCGGAAAUCGAGGUCUUUAUCUGUUAUUAUUAUGGUCGCUGUGAAUCACUAGCUACAUUUUUUAUUAACUUAUAAACAAUUUGAAACUAUUUUUCAAACAGGCACCUGAGGCUGUGUGACAUAUUUGAAUGACUUUGUUAACAAAUAAUGAAUGCACGUUGACUAGUUUCCUUUCUAUUUCUAAAGCCUGGCCUAGACUUAUUGAAUGUAAAUGUACAGCCAGAAUCUUGAACAACUCUUCACCAUUUUAAGUUCAGCCUCAGUCCGUUUCCUGUGCUUUCGAAAGAGAAAGUUCAGGCAGUGCAGGACGUCUCCAUUAGCAAUGUUUUUUUUUUUGUUACUAGGUGCUAGCCCCUAUUGUUGUUAUGGAGCCUUGGGGGUAAGGAUAGGGGUGUUUUUGGCUAAAUCUCUGGCACAUAAACCUGAAUCAGGUUUCUCUAAUUGAUUGUAUGUUUGCUUUAUUCAGAUACAGGACACUGCAAUACCGUAGUCUGAACUUUUAAGCAUGUUGUUGACAAUGUUUCAGAGUGGUCUAAGGUUUGAGGUAUUAAUCUCAACUUCAAGGGAUGGUGCUUGAGCUAAUUCAGUAUGUCAUUGUUGUCCUGGUGUAAUCUUCCAUGACCAAUGAACAAACACCCAGUCAUGUUUUGUCAUUGU